UUAGCAUCACCAUCAUGCCCCAAUUCCAUUACCCCAUCAUACCCCCAUAGUGGGGCAAGAUGGUUUUUCAUAAUGUUCUUAUUAAUGGCUAAUUGUUGAAAAAUGUGAUAGGUUGAUUUUCCAAAGAUUGUACCAAAUCAUAAUUAGAUUAAUGACGUAACGUGCCAUCAAUUAGUAGUAGUAAUAAACGUAGUAAUUAUGUUG
rnacentral:lncRNA from 1 species